rnacentral:siRNA from 1 species
GACCCGUUAGUCUACAUGGACCA